AAUUCAUAUCUCCAGAACGAAGAAGAAGUAAAGAGAAAUAGAAAAGUGUCUUUAUGGAAAGGCUGAGGGAAGGACGAGCCUUCAUGUGACUUCUCUAUCUCCGUUCGUUUCCUCACUCACAUCUUUUUCAUUUUGCUUUUCUUUUUCUUCU
rnacentral:ribozyme from 1 species